rnacentral:rRNA from 1 species
UACGUAGGUGGCAAGCGUUGUCCGGAAUUAUUGGGCGUAAAGCGCGCGCAGGCGGUUUCUUAAGUCUGAUGUGAAAGCCCACGGCUCAACCGUGGAGGGUCAUUGGAAACUGGGGAACUUGAGUGCAGAAGAGAAGAGCGGAAUUCCACGUGUAGCGGUGAAAUGCGUAGAGAUGUGGAGGAACACCAGUGGCGAAGGCGGCUCUUUGGUCUGUAACUGACGCUGAGGCGCGAAAGCGUGGGGAGCAAACAGGAUUAGAU